rnacentral:rRNA from 1 species
AUGAUAAAAGGUCCAGCAUUGGACUAUUCAUUUGUCUGGGACGAUGACAGAAGAUCCAACAAGUUCUCUGGUGGAAAACCAAGCAACAUUCAGAGAGUCCUGUGGGAUGUAUCUACUAAAGAACCUGAUCGAUAUGGUGCAUGCAAAAGGCUGUUUGUUCCUGAAGGUAGUAAAAAUUUGAUCGGGUCCUCUAACAGAGUGUCAAAUAAACCACCAAUGUUUGCUGAAGUACAUGAGAGCCGCAAAGUCACUGUUGAAGAAAAAACCAGGACCCCUGUCUUGGAUUUUAAGCAGCAUGCUAAGGAUCCAAAUAUUGAAGGAGGAGAUCCAGAUUAUUUGGCCGAUGUUGAGGAAGCAGCAACGAAGAAGACACGGUUAGCAAGUGCAUCUUACCAUGGAGAGGAGGAUGAAAGUGAAACUGCAUUGGUUUCAAAAGACACCAGACCUAUGGACAUGCUGACAGUAUCAGAUGAGAACUGCAAACUCAAUAGCAUCAGUUUGUUAUCUAAUGACACAUGUACUCAGAUGGCUGGAGCUUAUCUCGAAACCGAAGUGCAACUGAAAGAUGAACAGCAAAGGAUCCAAGGCUGCCGUGAAGAUGUUACAGGUGAUACUGAGAACAUGCCGAUAGUAUCAGAUGAGAACUGUAAACUCAAUAGCAUCAGUUUGUCAUCUAAUGAUACCUGUACUCAGAUGGCUGGAGGUUAUCGCGAAACCGAAAUGCAACUGCAAGAUGAACAGCAAAGGAUCGAAGGCUGCUGUGAAGAUGUCAUAGGUGAAAAAUCAUUGCUCGGAGAUUCUGGAAAUGCACAGCUGUUUCGCAAGCUCAGUUUUGGUGACAUGCAGACCAUUGUUGAAACUGGCAGUGAGGUGGGUUUUGGCGAUGUGGACACUGAAACAUCUCUCCAAGAGAAACAAAAGCAAAGUGCUAGGAGCUGCUCUGGAGUGGUUGAUACAGAUACAAGGUUGAUCAUCGAAAAUCCUGAAACCAUGGAAUCCUUGCCCAACCAUGAUCAGGAUGGAACUUUUGAAAUGGUGGCAACUGAUCACCAGGACACCAGUACCCUCCCUCAGUGCAAAGAUGGUGAAGCUACAAACCAACUGACAGGCUCUGAAGAUGAUAAAGAUAGUACCAUCAACUUGUCGCCGAACAGAUGUCGAAGCACUUCACCUCCUCGUGAUCUUGAGUUGAGCAAAGAAGAGGAGAUGCGACACCAAAGUUACCGAACAAAACAUGGAGCAGCCCAUGAAAUCUCAGACUCCACGGACUCAUUUGCGAUCUGCGCCGAGGGUUACGGAAGCCAGAUUGGGAUGUCAACUGACAGCACCUCUGUUCAUCUGAUCAUCAACGAACUUGGAACAAACUCAGAGUCCAGGACAAGUUUCUUCGACAGCUCCUGUGACAAAGAAUCAAAUAAACACCCGCUGUUUGCUGAAGUACAUGAGAUCUGCAAAGUCAGUGUUGAAGAAGAAACCAGGACCCCUUUCUUGGACUUUACACGGUGUGCCAAGGAUCCAAAUGUUGAAGGAGGAGAUCCUACUGCCGAUGUUCAGGAAGCAGCAACGAAGAAGAUGCGGUUAGUAAGUGCAUCUUACCAUGGAGAGGAGUAUGAAAGUGAAACUUCAUUGGUUCCAAAAGACACCAAACCUAUGGACAUGCUGACAGUAUCUGAUGAGAACUGUAAACUCAAGAGCAUCAGUCUGUCAUCUAAUGACACCAGUGCUCAGAUGGCUGGAGCUUAUCUUGAAACCGAAGUGCAACUGCACGAUGAACAGAAAAGGAUCCAAAGCUGCAGUGAAGAUUCUGGAGAUGCACACCUGUUUCGCAGGCUCAAUUUCGGUGACAUGGAGACCAUUGUUGAAACUGGCAGUGAGGUGGGUUUUGGCCAUGUGGACACUGAAACAUCCCUCCGAGAGAAACAAAACCAAAGUUCUAGGAGCUGCUAUGGAGUGGUUGAUGCAGAUACAACGUUGAUCCUCGAAAAUCCUGAAACCAUGGAAUCCUUGCCCAGCCAUGAUGAGGAUGGAACUUUGGAAAUGGUGGCUACUGAUCAUCAGGACACCGGCACCCUCCCUCAGGGCAAAGAUGGUGAAGCUACGGACCCAUUGACAGGCUCUGAAGAUGAUGAAAAUACUACUUCCAACGCCCUGUCCCCGAACAGACGUCGAAGCAGUUCACCUCCUGGUGAUGUUGAGUUGAGCAAAGCAGAGGAGAUGCGAUACCAAAGUUACCAAGCCAAACAUAUAGCAGCUGCCCAUGAAAUGUCAGACUCGACGGACUCAUUUGUGGUCUGCGCCGAGGGUUACGGAAGCAAGAUUGGUAUGUCAACUAACAGCACCUCUGUUCAUCUGGUCAUCAACGAACUUGGAACAAACUCGGAGUCCAGGACAAGUUUCUUCGACAUCUCUUGUGACAGAGAAUCAAAUAAACCCCUCUUUGCUGAAGUACAUGAGAGCUGCAAAGUCACUGUUAAAGAACAAAUCAGUACCCCUUUCUUGGACUUUAAGCGGCGUGCUAAGGAUCCAAAUGUUGAAGGAGGAGCGGAUUAUACUGCCGAUGUUCAAGAAGCAGCAAGGAAGAAGACGCGGUUAGCAAGUGCAUCUUACCAUGGAGAGGAGUAUGAAAGUGAAACUGCAUUGGUUCCAAACGACACCAAACCUAUGGACAUGCUGACAGUAUCAGAUGAGAACUGUAAAUUCAAGAGCGUCAGUUUGUCAUCUAAUGACAGAUGUACUCAGCUGGCUGGAGCUUAUCUUGAAACCAAAGUGCAGCUGCAAGAUGAACAGCAAAGGAUCCAAGGCUGCUGUGAAGAUGUUGCUGGCAAUACCGAGAACAUGCUGAAAGUAUCAGAUGAGAACUGUAAACUCAAUAGCAUCUGUUUGAUAUCUAAUGACACAUGUACUGUGAUGCCUGGAGCUUAUCUCGAAACUGAAGUGCAACCGCAAGAUGAACAGCAAAGGAUCCAUGGCUGCUGCGAAGAUGUCACAGGUGAUAAAUCAUCGAUUCUCGGGGAUUCUGGAAAUGCAAACCUGUUUCGCAGGCUCAGUUUCGGUGGCAUGCAGACCAUUGUUGAAACUGGCAGAGAGGUGGGUAUCGGCCAUGUGGACACUGAAACAACCGUCCAAGAGAAGCAAAACCAAAGUGCUAGGAGCUUCCCUGGAGGGGUCAAUGCAGAUAAAAUGUUGAUCGUCGAAAACCCUGAUACCAUGGAAUCAUCGUCCAACCAUGAUGAGGAUGGAACUUUGGAAAUGGUGGCCACUGAUCAUCAGGACACAAGUAGCCUCAUGAUCCUUGGAAUCCGUCAGGGCAAAGAUGGUGAAGCUGCAAACCCACUGACAGGCUCUGAAGAUGAUGAUGAAGGUGCUACCAGCAACACCACUUCGCCAGACAGACGUCGAAGCUCUUCACCUGCUCAUGAUGUUGAGUUGAGCAAAGCAGAGGAGACGCGAUGCCAAAGUCAACAAACCAAAAAUGUGGCAGCUGCUCAUGAAAUGCCGGACUCCACGGACUCAUUUGCGGUCCGCGCUGAUGGCAACGACAGAAGCAAGAUUGCGGCAUCAACUGACAGCACCUCUGUUCAUGUGGUCGUCAACGACCUCCUUGGCACAAACUCGGAGUCCAGGACGGGCUUCUUCGACGGCUCCUCGAGCGAGCCUGCCGAGAUGAUCAUACUCUCGCAUGACCCCGGCGUGGACAUGGAACCUCACUGA